rnacentral:rRNA from 1 species
AUGCUGCACAUGUUGGACACCAAGAUUAACUGGUCCUGGUCCACAGCUGUUUGGAGUUCUUUGUGCCAUAGUUCCGUCCAGCACCUACAAAAUGAAGAGAAAACAUUGUUGCUGAGGAAUCUUCCAUACUGCUACAGGAUUGCUGUUACAAACAUGAGAAGAGAGAAAAGAAAAUCAGAUCUAGAACAAAUCACAGAAGAGAAGACGGGGGGAAAGGUGGGAGGGGGGAAAAAUCAGAGAAGAGAUCAGACGCCCUUACACUACGGAGCUCAUUUUCCAAAAAAGGGGAGUAUAUUAAAGGAGAGAAGAGUUACUUGUCCAGAUCCUCGGGCACAACAGCUGCGUCAGUGGUGCUACCCGACAAAAAGGGGGCAGGGGCAGCGCGGACGUUUUCUCCAUCGUCCUCCAGCGCCACCCCGGUCAGUGAGAUGGGGACUUGCACAUACAUGUUGUGCAAAUGCACUUGAAGAUGGUUGGGAUGCCAGAUUCAUCACAGUUUGUUGA